GAUGAACGCUGGCGGCGUGCCUAAUACAUGCAAGUCGAGCGAACAGACGAGGAGCUUGCUCCUUCGACGUUAGCGGCGGACGGGUGAGUAACACGUAGGUAACCUACCUAUAAGACUGGGAUAACUUCGGGAAACCGGAGCUAAUACCGGAUAAUAUUUCGAACCGCAUUGUUCGAUAGUGAAAGAUGGCUUUGCUAUCACUUAUAGAUGGACCUGCGCCGUAUUAGCUAGUUGGUAAGGUAACGGCUUACCAAGGCAACGAUACGUAGCCGACCUGAGAGGGUGAUCGGCCACACUGGAACUGAGACACGGUCCAGACUCCUACGGGAGGCAGCAGUAGGGAAUCUUCCGCAAAGGGCGAAAGCCUGACGGAGCAACGCCGCGUGAGUGAUGAAGGUCUUCGGAUCGUAAAACUCUGUUAUUAGGGAAGAACAAACGUGUAAGUAACUGUGCACGUCUUGACGGUACCUAAUCAGAAAGCCACGGCUAACUACGUG
rnacentral:rRNA from 1 species